CUCAUGGUUUCACGGUAUUGCAAUGAGAACAAUUUAAAACCCUUAGCGAGAAUCAAGUGGAGGACAAGUCUGGUGCCAGCACCCGCGGUAAUUCCAGCUCCACUAGCGUAUAUUAAAGUUGUUGCAGUUAAAAAGCUCGUAGUUGAACCUCUGUCUGGGGCUAGUUUUGGCUUUGGUCAGGCUAGUUCUAGGCAUCCGCCUACAAGACUUAGAGGGCAUUCAGUUGUUCACUAGGAGGAGUAGGCAUUUUACUUUGAAAAAAUUAGAGUGUUUAAGGCAGGCAAUCGCCCGCAUAUAUUAGCAUGGAAUAAUAGAAUAGGACACUUUUCCAUUUCGUUGGUUAUUGGAAUCGUGUAAUGAUUAAUAGGGACAGUUGUGGGCAUUUGUAUUUAAUUGUCAGAGGUGAAAUUCUUGGAUUUAUUAAAGACAAACUAACGCGAAAGCAUUUGCCAAGGAUGUUUUCAUUAAUCAAGAACGAAAGUUAGGGGAUCAAAGACGAUCAGAUACCGUCCUAGUCUUAACUAUAAACUAUUCCGACUCAAUGUUUGACUGGCUUAUAUAACCAGUUGAGCGUUGUAUGAGAAAUCAAAGUCUUUAGGUUCUGGGGGGAGUAUGGUUGCAAAGCUGAAACUUAAAGGAAUUGACGGAAGAGCACAACCAGGAGUGGAUUCUGCGGCUUAAUUUGACUCAACACGGGGAAACUUACCAGGUUAAAACAAUAGUGGGAUUGACAGUUUGAGAGCGCUCUCUUGAUUGGUUGGGUGGUGGUGCAUGGCCGUUCUUAGUUGGUGGAGUGAUUUGUCUGCUUAAUUGCGUUAACGAACGAGACCUUAACCUGCUUACUAGACUGGCGAUCAUCAAUCGUUAGCUCUUCUUAGAGGGACUUUGGUUGUUUUAACUCCAAGGAAGUCUGAGGCAAUAACAGGUCUGUGAUGCCCUUAGAUAUCCUGGGCCGCACGCGUCAUACAAUGACUAGUUCAGAAAGUUUUCUCCUGACCCGAAAGGGGAUGGGUAAUCUUGAUAAUACUAGUCGUGUUAGGGAUCGAUCUUUGCAAUUAUAGAUCUUGAACGAGGAAUUCCUAGUAAGUGCGGUUCAUCAGACCGUACUGAUUACGUCCCUGCUCUUUGUACACACCGCCCGUCGCUUCUACCGAGUGGGUGGUCCGGUGAGAUAAUUGAACUUCGCAGGUAACUGAGAGGAAAGAUUAUCAAACCUAUCCACCU
rnacentral:rRNA from 1 species